CCUGAGUGAGAAAACUACCUCUACCAAGGUCAUUCAGCACCUCCUCUGCAACUUAAAGUCUCAGACAAUUGCCCAGAAUACUGAUUUAUUAAGUGACCUGGCAAGGGUCACACAAGUAGUACGUCUGAGAGAUGUGUCUCGAACCCCGUUUUCCUGGCUUUGAAAGUGGCUCUCUAUACGCGAGCAGUGGUCACAAAGCAAAUGUUAUUGGUGGGAUGCUGACUUUGCACUGGCAACAGCUUGAAACUCCACAGCUUAAGGGCCUACGUUGGAUUUGUUCUGUGAAGUUUGGAUUCAGUCAAAGGGGUGCACUUGAGGACCUAGAGGGCUACGUGUGGCCUGGAGGCCACAGGUUCCCCACCCCUGGCUUAGAACAAUGAUCAUUACGUAUUUAGCUGGACUGGAGGAUGAUGAUCAGGUUAAUUAUGGUUCAUUCCAAUUCAUGGGUGGACAAGAUGUGCAACUGAUGGCAAUGAAAGACACCAUACUAGCUGGUGGCACUCUAACAUCACUCACCACAUGUGUCAUCUUUUCUCUCUCCUUCUAGUCUUACAUUCCUCCCUCUUAAUUACCCACUCUUCUGCCUUUCCUCUUUCCUUUUCUUCUCCAUCACUCAGACUAGCCAGUUUCCCAGGGACAGUCUCACCUUCCCCUUAACCAAGUGCCCAAAUGGUGACUCUAAUGGCAAUAAAUUUUUA